UACGAAGGGGGCUAGCGUUUGUUCGGAAUUACUGGGCGUAAAGCGCACGUAGGCGGACUACUAAGUCAGGGGUGAAAUCCCGGGGCUCAACCCCGGAACUGCCUUUGAUACUGAUAGUCUCGAGUCCGGAAGAGGUGAGUGGAAUUCCGAGUGUAGAGGUGAAAUUCGUAGAUAUUCGGAGGAACACCAGUGGCGAAGGCGGCUCACUGGUCCGGUACUGACGCUGAGGUGCGAAAGCGUGGGGAGCAAACAGG
rnacentral:rRNA from 1 species